AGCAGUCGCCACGGUAAUACGUAGGUCCCGAGCGUUGUCCGGAUUUAUUGGGCGUAAAGCGAGCGCAGGCGGUUAGAUAAGUCUGAAGUUAAAGGCUGUGGCUUAACCAUAGUACGCUUUGGAAACUGUUUAACUUGAGUGCAAGAGGGGAGAGUGGAAUUCCAUGUGUAGCGGUGAAAUGCGUAGAUAUAUGGAGGAACACCGGUGGCGAAAGCGGCUCUCUGGCUUGUAACUGACGCUGUGGCUCGAAAGCGUGGGGAGCAAACAGGAUUAGAUACCCGGGUAGUCCCUGUCUCUUAUACU
rnacentral:rRNA from 1 species